CUAAUCCGGAAUAGGGCUCUCAUCCUGGAGUGGAGAGAGCCUGAAACGCUCCGGCGCUAUAGGAUGUGGCUGCGGCCGAUUAGGUAGACGGUGGGGUAACGGCCCACCGUGCCAGUAAUCGGUACGGGUUGUGAGAGCAAGAGCCCGGAGACGGUAUCUGAGACAAGAUACCGGGCCCUACGGGGCGCAGCAGGCGCGAAACCUUUACACUGCACGCCAGUGCGAUAAGGGGACUCCAAGUGCGAGGGCAUAUAGUCCUCGCUUUUUGCGACCGUAAGGUGGUCGCGGAAUAAGUGCUGGGCAAGACCGGUGCCAGCCGCCGCGGUAAUACCGGCAGCACGAGUGAUGACCGCUGUUAUUGGGCCUAAAGCGUCCGUAGCUGGCCGCACAAGUCUAUCGGGAAAUCUCUCCGCUUAACGGAGAGGCGUCCG
rnacentral:rRNA from 1 species